UACAUGGGGUGCAAACGUUGCUCGGAAUUAUUGGGCGUAAAGCGCACGUAGGCGGUUCGUUAAGUCGGAUGUGAAAGCCCUCGGCUCAACUGAGGAAGUGCACCCGAAACUGGCGAGCUUGAGUACGAAAGAGGAUCGCGGAAUUCCCGGUGUAGAGGUGGAAAUUCGUAGAUAUUCGCAAGAACACCGGUGGCGAAGGCGGUUCUCUGGGCAUGUCCUGGACGCUGAGGAGCGAAAGUCGUGGGGAGCGAACAGG
rnacentral:rRNA from 1 species